GCUACGGGUGGCAGCAGUGGGGAAUAUUGCACAAUGGGGGAAACCCUGAUGCAGCGACGCCGCGUGAAGGAAGAAGUAUUUCGGUAUGUAAACUUCUAUCAGCAGGGAAGAAAAUGACGGUACCUGACUAAGAAGCCCCGGCUAACUACGUGCCAGCAGCCGCGAGAAUACGGAGGGGGCAAGCGUUAGCCGGAGUGACUGGGUGUAAAGGGAGCGUAGGCGGCGGUGCAAGUCAGAAGUGAAAGCCCUGGGCUCAACUCCGGGACUGCUUUUGAAACUGUGUUGCUAGAUGGCAGGAGAGGUAAGUGGAAUUCCUAGUGUAGCGGUGAAAUGCGUAGAUAUUAGGAGGAACACCAGUGGCGAAGGCGGCUUACUGGACUGUAAAUGACGCUGAGGCUCGAAAGCGUGGGGAGCAAACAGGAUUAGAUACCCCUGUAGUC
rnacentral:rRNA from 1 species